UACGGGGGGGGCAAGCGUUGUUCGGAAUUACUGGGCGUAAAGGGUUUGUAGGUGGCUUGCUAAGUCAGACGUGAAAUCCCUCAGCUUAACUGGGGAACUGCGUCUGAUACUGGAUGGCUUGAGUUCGGGAGAGGGAUGCGGAAUUCCAGGUGUAGCGGUGAAAUGCGUAGAUAUCUGGAGGAACACCGGUGGCGAAGGCGGCAUCCUGGACCGAUACUGACACUGAGGAGCGAAAGCGUGGGGAGCAAACAGG
rnacentral:rRNA from 1 species